UUAAUUUUAAUUUUGAAAUUUUAUUUUGAUUUAAUGUUAUAGAGUGUUUGCCUGAAUCUAGAUAUUUUCUUUAUUUUGAAUCUCUAAAAUCAAUUUUAAAAAUUAUAAAAAUUAAAGUCAAUUUGCAUAAAAAAAUUCAUAAGUUUUGAGCUUUUGUAAAUUGGGUCGCUUUUUUCGAUUUUGUAGAUUUAAGUUAGAAUUUGAGAAAACUGAUCAAAAUACCCUUAU
rnacentral:lncRNA from 1 species